rnacentral:rRNA from 1 species
CAGCCGCCGCGGGAAUACGCAGGUGGCAAGCGUUGUCCGGAAUUAUUGGGCGUAAAGGGCUCGCAGGCGGUUUCUUAAGUCUGAUGUGAAAGCCCCCGGCUCAACCGGGGAGGGUCAUUGGAAACUGGGAAACUUGAGUGCAGAAGAGGAGAGUGGAAUUCCACGUGUAGCGGUGAAAUGCGUAGAGAUGUGGAGGAACACCAGUGGCGAAGGCGACUCUCUGGUCUGUAACUGACGCUGAGGAGCGAAAGCGUGGGGAGCGAACAGGAUUAGAUACCCCUGUAGUCCCUGUCUCUUAUAA